rnacentral:rRNA from 1 species
AUUGAACGCUAGCGGCAUGCCUAACACAUGCAAGUCGAACGAGUGGCGGACGGGUGAGUAAUGUAUGGGAACCUGCCCGGUGGAGGGGGAUAACUACUCGAAACGGUAGCUAAUACCGCAUACCAUCGGAUGUGCCCAUAUGGGAUUAGCUAGUUGGUGGGGUAACGGCUCACCUAGGCCACGAUCCGUAGCUGGUUUGAGAGGAUGACCAGCCACACUGGGACUGAGACACGGCCCAGACUCCUACGGGAGGCAGCAGUGGGGAAUAUUGGACAAUGGGGGAAAGCCUGAUGCAGCCAUGCCGCGUGUAUGAAGAAGGCCUUCGGGUUGUAAAGUACUUUUAGCGGGGAGGCGGUACCUGCAGAAGAAGCACCGGCUAACUACGUGCCAGCAGCCGCGGUAAUAC